rnacentral:rRNA from 1 species
GACGUAGGGGGCGAGCGUUCUCCGGAAUGAUUGGGCGUAAAGGGCACGCAGGCGGUUCUGUGCGUGUUGGGUGACAGCUGCUGGCUCAACCAGCAGAGGACUCAACAAACGGCAGGACUUGAGAGCGAGAGAGGGAUACGGAACUCCAGGUGGAGCAGUGACAUGCGUAGAGAUCUGGAAGAACACCAAGGCGAAGGCAGGAUCCUGGCUCGUUUCUGACGCUCAGGUGCGAAAGCGAGGGGAGC